AGAGUUUGAUCAUGGCUCAGGAUGAACGCUAGCGGUGUGCUUAAUGCAUGCAAGUCGAACGGGAUCCCUUGGACUCGUCUGAGGGUGAGAGUGGCGAACGGGUGCGUAACACGUAGGUGACCUACCCCAGAGAGGGGGACAACCAUUGGAAACGAUGGCUAAUACCCCGGAUGUCAUUGUUGUUAGAGAACAAUGACUAAAUGCUCUGGUGCUCUGGGAGGGGCCUGCGGCCCAUCAGCUUGUUGGUAAGGUAAUGGCUUACCAAGGCUAAGACGGGUAGGGGGCGUGAGAGCGUGACCCCCCACACUGGUACUGACACACGGACCAGAUACCUACGGGUAGCAGCAGCAAGGAAUAUUGCGCAAUGGACGAAAGUCUGACGCAGCAACACCGCGUGGAGGAUGAAGGCUUUCGGGUCGUAAACUCCUUUUCUGGGGGAUGAGAUAGGACAGUACCCCAGGAAUAAGUCUCGGCUAACUACGUGCCAGCAGCCGCGGUAAAACGUAGGAGGCGAGCGUUAUCCGGAUUUACUGGGCGUAAAGCGCGUGUAGGCGGUUUCUUAAGUCGGACGUGAAAGCUCUCGGCUCAACUGGGAGAGGUCGUUCGAAACUGGGAAACUUGAGGAUGGUAGGGGAGAGUGGAAUUCCCGGUGUAGUGGUGAAAUACGUAGAUAUCGGGAGGAACACCAGUGGCGAAGGCGGCUCUCUGGGCCAUUCCUGACGCUAAGACGCGAAAGCUAGGGGAGAGAACGGGAUUAGAAACCCCGGUAUUCCUAGCCGUAAACGAUGUCAACUAGGCGUAGGGGGUAUCCAACCCCUCUGUGCUGUAGCUAACGCGUUAAGUUGACCGCCUGGGGACUACGGCCGCAAGGCUAAAACUCAAAUGAAUUGACGG
rnacentral:rRNA from 1 species